AGAGGGAACGAAAUUAAACACAAAAAUAGGAUAUUUAAGUGUGCUUGGGCUAGAGUAGUACUGAGAUGGGUGACCUCUAGGGAAGUCCUAGUGUUUUAUAUG
rnacentral:rRNA from 1 species